rnacentral:rRNA from 1 species
CCUGCCAGUAGUCAUAUGCUUGUCUCAAAGAUUAAUCCAUGCAUGUGUAAGUAUAAGUAUUGUACAGCGAAACUGCGAAUGGCUCAUUACAUCAGUUAUUAUUUAUUUGAUAAUCGAAAGUUACAUGGAUAACCGUGACAAAUUACAGCUAAUACAUGCAUUCAGACCUGGUCCAAGGGUCGUAAUUAUUAGUAUUAAACCAUUUCCGAAAGGAGUGUGAUGAAUCAUAAUAAUCGAACGAAUCGCCUGGUGUGCGAUAAAUCAUUCAAGUUUCUGCCCUAUCAGCUUUGGAUGGUAGUGUAUUGGACUACCAUGGCAGUCACGGGUAACGGAGAAUUAGGGUUCGAUUCCGGAGAGGGAGCCUGAGAAACGGCUACCACAUCUACGGAUACAACCCUUACCGAAAGCAAUUGGAGGGCAAGUCUGGUGCCAGCAGCCGCGGUAAUUCCAGCUCCAAUAGCGUAUAUUAAAGUUGUUGCAGUUAAAAAGCUCGUAGUUGAAACUCUGGCUGUUCGAUCCUCGAGCUCUGUAGCCGAGGACUCGACAGUCAUCCGCUUGCAAAUAUGUGUUCGUCUUUAAUCGGAUGACCAUAUGAGCAAGCAAUUUACCUUGAGAAAAACAGAGUGUUCCAGGCAGGUUUGUCCGGAAUGCAUUAGCAUGGAAUAAUAGAAUAUGACUGAAGUCGAUUUAUUGGUUUGAGGCUUUAGUAAUGAUUAAUAGGAACAGUCGGGGGCAUUGGUACUUGACAGUCAGAGGUGAAAUUCUAGGAUUUGUCAAAGACUAACAAAUGCGAAAGCAUUUGCCAAGGAUGUUUUCAUUAAUCAAGAACGAAAGUUAGGGGAUCAAAGACGAUCAGAUACCGUCCUAGUCUUAACUAUAAACUAUACCGACUCGGAUUCGGAUGAAUCAAAAAGUUCAUUCGGGACCGUAGGAGAAAUCAAAGUUUUUGGGUUCUGGGGGAAGUAUGGUCGCAAGGCUGAAACUUAAAGGAAUUGACGGUUUUGCACCACCAUGGAGUGGAGUCUGCGGCUUAAUUUGACUCAACACUGGGAAACUCAUCAGGGCAAGAAGAUUUUAGGAUUGACAGAUUGAGAGUUCUUUCUUGAUUGGUCUAGUGGUGGUGCAUGGCCGUUCUUAGUUGGUGGAGUGAUUUGUCUGGUUAAUUCCGUUAACGAACGAGACCUUAACCUGCUAACUAGUACUUCGAUGACAAAUCGAUGUUACUUCUUAGAGGGACUAUGUGAUGUAAUCACAUGGAAGUUUGAGGCAAUAACAGGUCUGUGAUGCCCUUAGAUGUCCUGAGCUGCACGCGUACUACAAUGGUGCUUUCAACGAGCUUUUCCUGAUCCGAAAGGAUUUGGGUAAUCUUUUUAGUGAGCACCGUGCUUGGGAUUGAUCUUUGUAAUUAUGGAUCAUGAACUAGGAAUUCCUAGUAAGC